GUGGGCAAUCUGCCCUCCGAUGGGGAAUACCCCCGCGAAAGCGGGACUAAUUCCGCAUAACAUUCCUUGGAUUAACUUUCGAGGAUUCAAAGCAGCAAUGCGUCGGAGGAGGAGCCCGCGCCCGAUUAGCUAGUUGGUGAGGUAACGGCUCACCAAGGCAAUGAUCGGUAGCUGGUCUGAGAGGAUGGCCAGCCACACUGGAACUGAGACACGGUCCAGACUCCUACGGGAGGCAGCAGUGGGGAAUCUUGCACAAUGGGCGAAAGCCUGAUGCAGCGACGCCGCGUGGGGGAUGAAGCUUUUCGGAGUGUAAACCCCUUUCGACUGGGACGAAUGCCUCGCAAGAGGAGUGACGGUACCAGUAUAAGAAGCCCCGGCUAACUACGUGCCAGCAGCCGCGGUAAGACGUAGGGGGCCAGCGUUGUUCGGAAUUACUGGGUGUAAAGGGUUCGUAGGCGGUGUGGCAAGUCGGGAGUGAAAUCUCUGGGCUCAACCCAGAGACUGCUUCCGAAACUGCUGUGCUUGAGUGUGAGAGAGGCUCGUGGAAUU
rnacentral:rRNA from 1 species